CUGGUUCGCUAGCUAUCACUACUACCAUCUAAGUUGUCAAUCACAGAAGGACCAGUGGUGGAGAAUAUCGCAGCAAUGCAGAGAGUGAAGAAAUUGUAUCUUGAAUUCUUACUCGUGACACUCACAGAGUAGCGCGUUCGCCAAGAGAAUGCUCUCCGCCACUGCCACCGCUGGUGUGGUAUUUGGAAGCAAUUGGAUAACAUUACUUACCACUCCUACUAGAUUAUUAUAUUUUUGUCAUAGCGCUGCUGCUGCUGCUGUUUCUGAUUUCCCACUAACUAUCAAUAUCACUCGUAGACCUCGUCAUAGAUUGCGCAAAAAUUCUUGCUCCUUCUCUUCCACCUCCUCCCCGUUCCCGUCAAUUUUAACAGAACCAGACGACGGCAAUCAGAAGAAAUCUGUUAAUGACGCUCGAUAUUCAAGUCUAAGAGUAUUGGAAUGGGAUAAGCUCUGCGACUUGGUUUCGUCCUUCGCCACUACUUCCUUAGGCCGUGAAGCCUGUAAGGAGCAAUUAUGGUCCCUCAAUCACACCUACCAUCACAGCUUGAUCCUCUUGAAAGAAACCAACGCCGCUGUCCAAAUGCACAACCAUGGCGCUUGCCGCUUAGACUUCUCCUCCAUUAAUCUUCUCUUAGUAAAAUCUGGUCUUCGAAAUGCUAGACGGGGGGGGUUACCCAUCAAUGCUAAUGAAGCAAUGGCUGUUGCUGCUAUCCUGGAGUCUGCCUAUUUCUUGCAGCUCAAUCUCAAAGCUGCAAUCAAGGAAGAUGCUGAUUGGUACAAUCGCUUUACGCCUCUUUCACAACUGAUAAUGGAAAUGGUUAUCAAUAUAUCAUUAGUCAGGGUGAUAAAACAAGUUAUAGAUGAAGAUGGCUCUGUCAAAGACUCUGCUAGUUCUGCUUUAAAACGAGCGCGUGAUCAGGUUCAGCUACUUGAGAAAAAGCUGUCUCAGUUAAUGGACAGCCUGAUUAGGAAUGAAAUGAAAGAGACAUCUUUUCUGGAAGUGAGUAACAUUGAUGGCAGAUGGUGUAUAAACUCAGGGACUGGUCAGCUGACAAGUUUUAAUGGCCUUUUGCUGUCCAGUGAUUCAGGAACUGGAAGAAUUAUAGAGCCACUCUCAGCAGUUCCUUUAAAUGAUGAGCUGCAACAAGCAAGAGCAUCAGUUGCAAAGGCAGAGGCAGAUGUGCUUUUGAUGUUAACAGAAAAGAUGAAAAAGGAUCUUGAUGACAUUGAAAAAGUAUCAGACAGUGUAAUUCAACUGGACGUGAUCAAUGCCCGGGCAACUUAUAGUCUUUUUUUCAGAGGAGCACCUCCCAGUUUGUAUCUUUCAGAAGAACUGGAUGGGUCUUUUUCCACUGAAACUUAUUUAUCAGAAAAUGAAACCUUGAUGGCAUCAUUUCCCAAAGAGAGAGAGUGGCUAUUGUACAUGCCUAAAGCCUAUCAUCCUUUGAUGCUCCAGCAACAUAGACAAAAUGUGCAGAAAGCAAAAAAGGAAGGCAGUAAUGCUCCUGAUGUUUCUGCAUUGGAACAAGCUCACCCAGUUCCAGUUGAUUUUUUUAUCUCCCAUAAAACAAGAGUCCUGACUAUAACUGGUCCUAAUACCGGGGGCAAAACCAUUUGCCUAAAGACAGUUGGAUUGGCUGCUAUGAUGGCAAAAUCAGGUCUUCAUGUUUUGUCAUCUGAAUCUGUAGAAAUUCCUUGGUUUGAUUCUGUUUUUGCUGAUAUUGGUGAUGAACAGUCCUUGUCUCAAUCUCUAUCUACCUUCUCUGGCCACUUGAAACAGAUAAGUGACAUUCGAUCUCAAUCCACGAGUCAGUCACUGGUGCUACUAGAUGAAGUUGGUGCAGGUACAAAUCCUCUUGAAGGAGCUGCAUUGGGGAUGUCAUUGCUGGAAUCUUUUGCUGAUAGUGGUGCCUUACUGACAAUAGCUACAACACAUCAUGGUGAACUUAAGUCCCUGAAGUACAGUAAUGAUGCCUUUGAAAAUGCUUGUAUGGAGUUUGAUGAAGUGAACUUAAAGCCGACUUACAAGAUUCUCUGGGGAGUACCAGGUCGUUCAAAUGCAAUUAAUAUAUCUGAAAAAUUGGGACUCCCCAGUGUAGUUGUUUCUAAUGCCCGAGAACUUCAUGGUGCUGCUAGUGCAGAGAUUAAUGAGGUCAUAAUUGAUAUGGAAAGGUUCAAGCAAGAUAGUCAAGAGCUUUUGCAUGAGGCACGGCAUCAUCUGAUGCUCUCAAAAAAUCUUCAUGAAAAACUAAAGCUUGCCAGAAGGAAGAUAAAGGAGCAUGGUACUGAACAGAGAUACCGUAAGAUGCGGCAAAUAUCUGAGGCUGCAUCAAUGGCUCGUUCUAUCCUUCACAAGAAAGUGCGGCAGCUUCGUGCACAUGCAACACAAACUUUUCAGCCUACAGCAGAUCAAAAACAACUGUCGACAAGUGAUAGCCGGUUUACUGCAGAGGCUAAGAAUGGACGGCCUACAGAGAGUAUGAGUACUUCAGUAGUUGAAAUCAAUAAACAACCAUCAGCAGCAAUGACUGAGCUUCCUGAGGUUGGUGAUAUGGUGCAAGUUUCUUCGCUAGGAAGGAAAGCAACAGUUUUGAGAGUGGAUCGAUCUAAGGAAGAAAUACUAGUUCAAGCUGGCAACAUGAAGCUGAAGUUGAAACUUGCUGAAAUAGGAGUUAAAUAGUAAGAAAAAGGCACACUUGCAUGUGCAAAAUGGACACGCAGUUAUGCACCCUCGCGCACGCGCAUAUCACGUUUGUAUAGGUACAGAGGCAUCAUAUAAAUGACCAGCAGUUCAUGUUCCUAUCAUGGAAAACAUGUUUGUUCUGCCCUUUGGAAGGAGGGAUUUUAUCGAGCAAGAUCCCAACAUCAUCUUCAGGCAGUCGGGGGGGGGGGGGGGGGGGGGGAAUACUAGUAGAGUAUAAAAGGGACGGGGAUUAACUGGAAACAGAGAUUCAAAAUUUCAAGAAAUGAAGAGCCUUGACGUCACUCACUGUAAUCUAUAUUCUUGGAACGGCCCACCUGCAUGCUGAGGAAAACUCAAUCCAUUAAAUGUUGUCCACUAAUAGUUGAAGAUACUGAAACAUAGGAGAGUUAAUGUUGUAUCGUUUCUCUGUUUGGUCGGUACAUGUGAAUAUUACAAAUGGCAAUACAAAUAUUAACACUUUGUAUGCUCUCUUA